rnacentral:rRNA from 2 species
UGCAAGUCGAGCGGACAGAUGGGAGCUUGCUCCCUGAUGUUAGCGGCGGACGGGUGAGUAACACGUGGGUAACCUGCCUGUAAGACUGGGAUAACUCCGGGAAACCGGGGCUAAUACCGGAUGCUUGAUUGAACCGCAUGGUUCAAUUAUAAAAGGUGGCUUUUAGCUACCACUUACAGAUGGACCCGCGGCGCAUUAGCUAGUUGGUGAGGUAACGGCUCACCAAGGCAACAAUGCGUAGCCAACCUGAGAGGGUGAUCGGCCACACUGGGACUGAAACACGGCCCAAACUCCUACGGGAGGCAGCAGUAGGGAAUCUUCCGCAAUGGACGAAAGUCUGACGGAGCAACGCCCCGUGAGUGAUGAAGGUUUUCGGAUCGUAAAACUCUGUUGUUAGGGAAGAACAAGUACCGUUCGAAUAGGGCGGUACCUUGACGGUACCUAACCAAAAAGCCACGGCUAACUACGUGCCAGCAGCCGCGGUAAUACGUAGGUGGCAAGCGUUGUCCGGAAUUAUUGGGCGUAAAGCGCGCGCAGGCGGUUUCUUAAGUCUGAUGUGAAAGCCCCCGGCUCAACCGGGGAGGGUCAUUGGAAACUGGGGAACUUGAGUGCAGAAAAGGAAAGUGGAAUUCCACGUGUAGCGGUGAAAUGCGUAAAGAUGUGGAGGAACACCAGUGGCGAAGGCGACUCUCUGGUCUGUAACUGACGCUAAGGCGCGAAAGCGUGGGGAGCGAACAGGAUUAGAUACCCUGGUAGUCCACGCCGUAAACGAUGAGUGCUAAGUGUUUAGAGGGUUUCCGCCCCUUUAGUGCUGCAGCAAAACGCAUUAAGCCACUCCGCCCGGGGGGAGUACGGUCCGCAAAACUGAAACCUCAAAGGAAUUUGAAGGGGGGCCCGCCACAAGCGGUUGGAAGCAAGGUGGGUUUAAUUUCGAAACCAACGCCAAAAAACCUUUACCAGGGUCUUGGACAUCCCUCUGACAACCCCU